rnacentral:RNase_P_RNA from 1 species
CCGGAGGGUCCGUCGCGCGUUCAUGUAUAAGGGGCGUGAGGAAAGUCCGGGCAACACAGAGCACCAUAUUUGCUAACGGCAAGCUAUCGGCAACGGUAGAGGCAAUGUGACAGAAAAUUACCGCCCGCGGUCCUCGGAGCGCGGGUAAGGGUGAAAAGGCGAGGUAAGAGCUCACCGGACGCCACGGCGACAUGGCGUGCCGCACACCUUAUGGGUUGCAAGGUCAAGUAUACCGGCAGCCGGCAGGGCCUCCGGGUCCGCCGGACGGGUUGCUCGCCCGUAAUUGCCGGGGGGUAGACUGCGCACACCUGCUCCGGCAGGCAGAUAAAUGACGGACGGUGCCCUUCAACUCCCCGCCCCCCGCGGGCGAAAGUGGAAGGCGCCACAUAACCCGGCUUAUACUCCGACC